ACUAUCCAUUAAAUUAUAUUAACUGAGGAUAGGCAAUCAAGACGAGCUCGCACGGCAAGUUGUUUAGAGUUUCUAUUCCGACCAGAGAUCGAUGGGUCUGAAUUCCUUCUUCCAUUUCAUAACAUUUUUCAUAUUAAUCGCAGCAGCAAUAUUGGCCAUGCAUCCGUAUCAGAUCUCUGCAGAUAUGAACGAAAGAAAACUUGGUAGAGCCAAACCAAGUCCUCCCCCGGCACCGGUUACAAACAAGGAUAGGAACCAAAAUCCACCACCGUCGUUUUCCACCCAUGCCAGUAAAAGUGGGAAGACAUAGUAGCAUUACUAUUCCUUAAUUUGGAGGGGGAUCGGAGUGAUAAUCAAUAUUGUAAGGGUUCCUUAUAUAUACACAAUUAAAACAGCAAGAGGGGAAUUAAGUUUCUACGUGCUAUUUAUUUUUCUGGGGAUCAUUGUAAUAGUUGGGUGUUUUUUCUUUACAUUGCAUGAUAUAUAUGCUGCACUAGGAAGGGAUGAUAAUGGAUAUUAUAUAUAGUUUAUUCUAA